rnacentral:snoRNA from 1 species
UCAUACCUAUGAUGAGUUGCGAACUGUAUUGCCUACAUUGUUUGAUCAAUACUAUGAGAAGCUUAUGCAACUUCUGAGGAUGA